GGUGCGAUCCUAGAUUAGGCCCGCAGCUCAUUUCAGAAAGCUGACAAUCUCCGCUAGCUGCGCGAAACACAAAGGUCUCCGGGUCUCUGCAGGCUCCGGCCGAUAACGCCGCGCUGGGAUCAUCUGCGGGCUCCGUGGCUCCCGCGUAUUGUCUGGCUCUCCUUCAAGGGCUGCCUUACGGACUCUGAGCCUUCAAACAAAACCUGUCGUCUCCAGCACUAAACCGAAAAUCCCAUUCAACUUGAAGCACACAACACCAUUCGCUUACGUACAAGAAAAAUUAGUUUUCAUUGAGUAUGUACUCAUCUGCACUAACAUUUCGUAUACAGAGCCUUUGUUUCCAUAAGCAGGUUGAUUUUUUCCCAACAGAUCAGCCUAUUGGGAUAAUUUACUCCUUUUGCAUAUAUUUUGUAUGCUCUUCUUAUUGUGGAUUUUUCACUCUGAAAGCAUUUAAGUGGAAUUCUGCAGCACCUGUUCUUUUUUAGUCUGAAAAUUGUGUAGGUCUCACAUUGUCCCAAACUCAUAAUUCUAAGCAGGAGGCUUACCUGAUUUUAAUUUUUUUUAUUUUCUGUUGCUCUUUCACACAGUGACAAGUACCAUGUCUCAAUUGUCUUUUGCUGAUGUCUGCUGUACUAGGCACUUGGACAAAAAUAUCUCACCAUAUGUGUGAGAAGACACUGUAACCCACAAACUGUAGUACCAUGUUUCUUUUGUGGUACUUACCUAUGCAUCUCAAUACCACAGGCAUGUAAAACACAAGGCCAGAAAAUAACUAAAUAAGGUUAAUAAAAAUGACAUAGAUUGGAGAAGCCAGAGCAAGCAACUAGAAACAUUUAAACAGUACAUUCAAAUUAUUUGUAUCUGUUUGGAAAAACAGCUUCUGUUGUUAAAGAGGUUUUAAUUGUAUAAUUUACUUUUUUAAAAGCCAAUUCUAAAAAGGAAAAAAAAGGAUAAAAAGGACUGAUGCAGAAACUAAUAAAUCACAGGUGAAAAUUAUUCUAAUAAAAUAAGCAAAUGUUUAGGAAACUUAAGUCACACCAGCUUUUGGGUACGUGAAAGGAAAUUACAAGGAUUUUCUUGGUUUGCAGUAUGUAUGUGAUACUCCUGUACACAUAAUGUGAUUAGUAUUAUAGUAACAACAGUACUAAAAAUGUCAAUAUUAACAGCACUGAUAGUAAAACCAGAAAAUGGCAAAACCAAAGCAGAACCAAGUGGAGCAAAUUAAUGAGCCUUUAGUCUAAGACUCAAACCAGCUGUUUCUCCAAAGGAUUGAAAUGGUGUAUCCUCAUUCUGUAUUAGUCUACAGCUGAGGGAUCACUGACAUAUGAGCAGUCUGACUCUGAAUUCCAGCUAGAAGCAGAGACUUCAGGGCGCCUCUGCUCUUUGCUACAGGAAUGCAGAAUUCACAGCAUCGCGUGCAUUGGGCACUUGCAAGGAAAGCUUUCUUAUUACAUGAAGUAGAAAGGCAGUGUGCAAGUUGAUUUGUGACAUUGCUCUUCAUAUCUCAAUGCAAAGAGAAAGCCAAGAAAUAACGAAAAAACCCUCAAGUCUCCUGUUAAUCAUGGAAGUUGACAUUGUUACUGGCAUGUUUCUCGCAUGAAGCAAACAUUCUAUAAAUUAAGGGAGAUACAGCAUAAUAGUAUAGCUUGAAACUUUCUCCCGCUUACUGAUUCACCAUCUGAUUUCCAUUACAUAUGGAGAACUUCAUCCCAGCAUCUCUAAUAUGGAAAGGUAGUGAACCUCCAGAAGAGAAAUCUCCAUUCACCUUACACUUAUGGAUAAGGUGGGGGAAGAAGCUCGACCUGUAAACUUUGCUGCAUUAAAGAAAUAUACAAGUUCAUAAGUUUUCAUAGAAUUCCAGGUUAACUUUGUCAAUUCUGAUGUUGUAAAAAGUGAAUGAAUUGGCACGACCUGUAGAAAUCUCAGGAAACGUUUGAAAUUUCUUCAGCUGGCUGUAUAUCAAGCAUACAGUGAAAAAAGGAAAUAGAAGGAAAGUAGAAAAGAAGGGCAAAAGGCGAAAUGGUUGUGGUUUUGAACAGUGAAGAUAGCAAUCUCUCAGGAAAAAAAGACGACCACUUUUUGUACUGUUACACUAAACAAUGUCUGGUGAAACACAGACAAUAGCAGGGAUAUUGGCACCUCAGCUUCUGGCUUUUAAGUGAAUCAAAUAUGAUGUGAUUAUGAGAAGUUUUGUAUGAGAUAUAAAAUUAGUUUGUGACCUAUUUAAGAAGGAAAAGUUUUUCCACAUUUGAAAAAGCAUUAAACUUUGCAAAAAUCUCAUUUCAGUUCUUCACCUGCAUUUCCUGACAGGAGGAAACGGAAGAUUUGCCUAAAGUCCAGCAACAUCUUGUGAGGAGUGAGGAAUGGUAUUGUUUAAGGUGUUCAAGCCAGUAGGAUCAAGUAUGUGGCUGGAAGAAGGUGGCUGAGGCAGGAAUGGCAGUGGACAAAGAUGAAAACUACACCAAGCAUAAACUCAUCAUCAAGGCUGACCCAGAAAGAUGCUGAAGCACCAAAGUACUGCCAACUCUCUAUUAUUUGGGAUAUUUUAGGGAUGGAAAUGAGAACUGAGGAAUCCCAAAUUAUGGAAAAUAAUUUGAUAGAAGGUAUAUGUGGCUGUGCAGUAACUGCAUGAACUUGGUCAGCUCAAGUACUGAAAAUAAAUUGGUGCUUAUUACCUCCCUUUAAUAAUUCUCUUUGAAAAGCCAGUGGAGCAUCUUGGUAUUCAUGAUAUGGAAGGCAUUCAGCAUGGCUAAUGUUUUGAUAAUUUACAAAACAUAUGCAUAUAGCUUUACAUUUGUAUUAUUUAUAAAAACAUGCAGCUUUUGAAUGUACAUAUUUGCACAGAAAUUUUGCUAGUAUUAUGUAAAACAUGAGCAAUUUACAAGUUAUUUAAGAUGAAGGUAAUUUAUAAAUGUGUAUUAUUGUACUGUUAGACUACAGCAAUGUUUUUCUAGUUUUGCCAUUGUUCUCCUGGACUUCUGCAAAGUAAUACUUCAAGUGAGAGCAUCCACUGAAUUUCUGUGGAGUUAUUAGAUGUUGCCUGAUAUUUUUGAGCACUUGUGAAAAGGUGUUCCAAUGUCUAGUGAUGAAAAUACUGGAAUAUCAUGUAACCAUCAUAUCACUGGUUGUAUCAAUCAUAUAACCAUUGCUAACUGCCAAGUACAGCAGGUCUUUAGGGAACUCUUUAGUUUCUUAUAUCCCCACUGAGCAACUGGUGUUUGAAUAAAAGGCAGUGGUCCCAUUUCUUCCCUACUUGUGUGGAUGUCAUAGUUCAGUUAAACCCAGCAGAAACUGAGCUAAAAAAUUCUACAUAAAUUCUCACUGAGGUGUUUGUUCCAAGUAAGACAUGCUUUUCAAUAUUUUUUUCCCUUACAGGAAUCCUUUAUCUAGAUAAAUGUAUCCUACAAAUCUUGAAAGAAAACAAACAUUCUCUUAAAAGCAGACUGUAAAACAGUUGCUUUCCAGAACUUCAUCCUCUUAUAAAGCUUCUUUUUUGCAGGACUCAGCUCUGCUAAGCUCCCUGCUACAAUAUCUCAGCUUGUUCCAUUUGACGGCUGUUCCCCUGUCAUCACUCAUUUUCAGUGGGCAAGGGGGAGCAAUUGCUGGGCAUCAAAUCAUCAUCAAGUAAACCAGCCUUGACACUAGUUAAAAAGGGAGAUGGAUGGUCAGUUGGCUUCUACAGAAAAUAUUCUCUUAAGUAUCCUACCAAGGUCCCUUGAUACCAACCUAGUGGUUUUCUUUCUUUCUUUCUUUUUUAUUUUAUUUUUUUUAAUGGGAGCAGAGCAAUCGCCUAUAUUUCUUCUGGGUCAUAAUUUGAUGGCAGGUUUCCUCAGGGGAGGAGCACAGGGGUUAGGUGAGUAAGCUCUGCAUUCAACAAUUAAACAUCAGAAAUACAAGCUGUGAAGGAAAUAGCUUCCUUUCCUUGCCUGUAAUGGGCAAUCAAAACCUCCCCACAUUCUGUAUCUUCAGGAAUGCCAAGCAUACUUCGGUGUACCAUCCAUUGUUCAUUUGUUUGUUCCUCCCCCUCCCGUAACUUCCAACAUAUCUUUCAAUUCAUAAUAAAAGGUUCACAAAUAGCCUGAAAAUUAAAGGAUUGCUUGUAAGAUUGACCAUGAAGGUGACAGUACUGGUCCUUUAGAAUGUUGCUUUCAAAUGAUAGGGAAAAUAACUCCACAAUUUGUUCAUUUGUAGAAUGAAUAAAUAAAUAGUAAAUAUCAGAAAGUGCUGCUGAAGUUAUGCAAGAGAAAAAUAACAAGAAGUAUAUAUAUGUAUGUAUUUAUAUAUGGCUUUUGGGCAGUAAGUUUGCAUUGCAUAUUGUACCACACUAGGAACACCAACAGAAAAAACAGCACAGAUGUCUUCCCAAAGUAUGAAUCUUAGAUGUUAGAACUAUGAUAUACAAAUGAACACUUUGGAGUAAAGGACUGUAAAUUUUGCUCUUCUCAUUAUCAUUGUGUCUGUAAAUGUCUUUCUCUCACCAUGCCUCCUCAUCCCUCUCCCACAAAAAAAAAAAAAAAAAAAGGGAAAAAAAAGGUAGAAAAAAAUUCCCCAAAACAACAGCAACAAAAAUAACCCCAAUCUCUGACAGAAUUUGGAACUGAAAAAAAAAAAUAGAACAAAAGCAUUGAGCAUUCAGUGAUUGUCUCGAGCAGGAUUUUUGGUGCUAUCAAUAUUAUUACUACAAUACAGAAAAAGCAAUUUUGAUAAUAAUUUUGCAAGAGUGGUACAGAAGUUCCCAAAAGCAUAACCCUUCUCAGAUUUAUCUGCCUACUGAGGUCUCAUUAAAGUCAAUGAGAAUUUGGAGACUCUCUAAUGGAGGAAAAGCCAGUACAAAGCAUAAAUGUUCAGACAGUGCCUCAAGGUCCUUACUCCAGCAAAAUUCUUACAUAAAUCAGUGGAAAUUUUGUCUCGGGGGAAAAUCAGAAAUGAACCUCAUUUUGUUUGUAAAGACUGAAAUAUUUAAAAUUUUAAACCGGCAAUAAUGUUAGUAUGCCCUUUGCACAAUUGUUUAAAAAAAAUUGGAGGGGUCAAUCCUGCAAAAUCCUGACAUCUCUGGAAGUUUCUGUAAGCUAAAGCAAGCUCCUAAUACUCAGCAAAGGAGAAGGGAUCUCAGUACUUCUGCCUCUGAAACACAGCAUGGUCCCAGCUGAGGCAGGAUGGGAAGCUGAGACCAGGCAGUGACAGCUUGAUUGAGGAAGAGGAACAAUGUAGUAGAGUGCCUUCUGAUUUUAAUUCACAUGAUGCUCUUUAUUACCCUUAGGGAUAAGAGGUACUAUUUAAAAUUGCUUUUAACACUAUUUAUUUCAAAAAUAUUUUACUGGAACACGACCUAUGUUCCAGUUAUAGAAUGUAUGUUCUGAGUUAUAGAAUGCAUGGUGUCCUGGGGGAGUCCUGGGGUUAGAUAUUUAUGGGGAAAAAAAUAACCAAACAAAAACAAAACAACAACAAAAAUCCCCCCCAAACAGAGGAAAAUUAAGAAUAAGCAGAAUUUAGGUUUGCAAACAUUUCUAUUUUUUAUAAAACAAAAUUAUUUUAGUUCCUAUUAAGGAAUUAAUAUACCAUAUAUAAAUAACUUUAAAUCAGUUGAAUCAUAAGUAAGCCAUUAUGUUAUUGACUGGAAUUGUUUCUCUGAUCAUUAAUUUAUGGGAUGGGAUUUUAUAAUGAUGCUGACUCUAUUUGGCAGUCUGUGUAUUCACUGUAAUGUGAAGGUCUACAUAGCAAUACUAAAGAUAAUACUCCUUAACAAAAAUUGCUUUACUAUUGAUGCAACAGAAGUCAGAAUAUACAGGUAAAAUAGACUAAGUUUAUAAUUUUCUUGAUUCAGGUCCAUGAUACUUGUGCAGUUAUUUAUAUUACACUUUCUGAUGUUUUACUUUUGCAGUCAUUACAGAGUGAAGAAAAAGAUUAUACUUAAUGUUUUUUUGUUUUUCCAUGGAGGAAGCAAAUAAAAAAAAAAAAAGGAGCAGUUAUUCUGAGGUUUUGUGAAGUCUGUAAACGGAUUCAGGGAACAUACAUGCUCUCUGUUAUUAAAAAGGUCUGAAUUAGAUCAUGGUACAGCUCAGGGAUGAGUAGCCAUAAGUGAAGAGCAAAACUGCAGAACUGGGCAACAGAGGUUCAGCAACAGAGGAGAACUCCACAGCUGAAGGAUUACUGGAAUCAAAUCAUAUCCUUGGUGAAAGCUGACUCAACCAAAACACUCCAAUACAUCCUUCAUCACUCUGUGUGGACUGGUAACAAGCUCUUCAUUGUAGUUCUGCUUGCUGGAAGAACUGUGUGUGCCCAUGGCAGCAAACCUGAGUAGUUUUUUAUGGGAACAGCCACAUUUCUGUGUUAAUACAGACCAACACUGACUGGUAGAUUUUACAGGAAGAGACAUAUACAGUACAGUAGUGCACUAUUGAAAUUCAUGUGGCCUCCAGACAUUUCAGUCAGACUCAGGACUCAAUAGUACUUCAUAUGUGAUGCAUGUGAGAAAAGCAAUAAAGUUUGAGAGAUUUUUACAGAAUAUUUUUUUGCUGUUAUAACUAGCAUAAAAGACAAAUGCAAAUUUUUUGAUUGUUAAAAGUUAUUGAAACUAAUCAAUGCUACUUAAUUUAAAUAUUUGAAAAUAUGGAUGCAAGAGAGCUUUAUUUGACAGGUAUUUAACUCAAAGUUUCUCAGACUGAAAAAAUAUGCAAUCAAACAAUAUCUGCUUUACUGAAUUAAUGGGGAUAAUAAUGUAAUACUUCUAACUGUUAUUUUCAUUCAAUUUUGUUCAGUAAAAUCCUUAUAUAUCCUCUUUUCUGUGCCAGUGUUUUUCAUUUUACUUGUAUAAAGACAGAUUGAAAAGAGAACCUGAAAGCAAGCGAGAGGAGGUAUUUUCAUAGAGCAGUGUUAAAUU